rnacentral:rRNA from 1 species
CUACGGGAUGCUCCAGUCGAGAAUCUUCCUCAAUGGGCGAAAGCCUGAAGGAGCGACACCGCGUGCAUGAAGAAGCCUUUCGGGGUGUAAAGUGCUUUUAUAUGUGACGAAACAAUGACGGUAGCAUAUGAAUAAGGGGCUGCUAACCUCGUGCCAGCAGCAGCGGUAAUACGAGGGCCCCAAGCGUUAUCCGGAUUUAUUGGGCGUAAAGCGUCCGUAGGUGGUUUAUCGCAUCUCCUGUUAAAUCUCGAGGCUCAACCUCGAGUCAGCGGGAGAGAUGGACAAACUAGAGAUCGGAAGAGGCAAACGGAAUUGCUGGUGUAGGGGUUAAAUCCAUUAAUAUCAGCAAGAACACCAAAUGCGAAGGCAGUUUGCUAGGACGAAUCUGACACUCAGUGGACGAAAGCGUGGGGAGCGAAUGGGAUUAGAUACCCUAGUAGUC